rnacentral:rRNA from 1 species
CUGGCUCAGAUUGAACGCUGGCGGCGUGCUUAACACAUGCAAGUCGCGCGUGAAAGGACUUCGGUCCGAGUAAAGCGGCGCACGGGUGAGUAACGCGUGGAUGAUCCACCCAUGAGUUGGGAAUAACGGUUGGAAACGAUCGCUAAUACCCGGUACGUUCCGAUUUCAACUUCGGGAGAAAGGGGGGCCUCUGCUUGCAAGCUUCUGCUCAUGGAUGAGUCCGCGUCCCAUUAGCUAGUUGGUGAGGUAACGGCUCACCAAGGCAUCGAUGGGUAGCCGGUCUGAGAGGAUGACCGGCCACACUGGGACUGGAACACGGCCCAGACUCCUACGGGAGGCAGCAGUGGGGAAUAUUGCGCAAUGGGCGAAAGCCUGACGCAGCGACGCCGCGUGAGGGAUGAAGGUCUUCGGAUCGUAAACCUCUGUCAAGAGGGAAGAAACGUCAGGGUGCUAAUCAGCCCUGAUCUGACGGUACCUCUAAAGGAAGCACCGGCUAACUCCGUGCCAGCCGCCGC